rnacentral:lncRNA from 1 species
GUAACUUAACAGACCGUGAGAUUCACAAAAUCUCAAAAAUAAAAGGUCGUGAUUGUAAAUCAGUAGACCGUGAGAUUUGUAAAAUCUCGAAAGUAAAAGGUCGUGAUCAUAAAUCGACGAACCGUGAGAUUUGUAAAAUCUCGAAAAUAGAAGGUCUGAUCAUAAAUCAACAGACUGUGAGAUUCGUAAAAUCUUAAAAAUAGAAGGUCGUGAUUGUAAAUCAGCAGACCAAGAAAUUCGUAAAAUUUCAAAAGUAGAAGGUCGUGAUCGUAAAUCAGCAUAACAACCCAGAAGAUAUAAGUUGGACCUAUACUCACUUAU